GGCCGGUUAACUCAGUUAGAGUGUGGUACUGAUAACACCAAGGUCGCAGGUUCGAUCCCUGUUCGGUCU
rnacentral:tRNA from 1 species